GUGGAUUAUACCCUGAUAGUCCACGCCGUAAACGAUGGAUACUAGUUGUUUGGAUUUAUCUGAGUGACUAAGCGAAAGUGAUAAGUAUCCCACCUGGGGAGUACGAACGCAAGUUUGAAACUCAAAGGAAUUGACGGGGGCCCGCACAAGCGGUGGAGCAUGUGGUUUAAUUCGAUGAUACGCGAGGAACCUUACCAAGGCUUAAAUGGGAAACGACGUAUUUGGAAACAGAUAUUUCUUCGGACGUUUUUCAAGGUGCUGCAUGGCUGUCGACAACU
rnacentral:rRNA from 1 species